rnacentral:rRNA from 1 species
CCUACGCGUGGCAGCAGUGAGGAAUAUUGGUCAAUGGACGAGAGUCUGAACCAGCCAAGUAGCGUGAAGGAUGACUGCCCUAUGGGUUGUAAACUUCUUUUAUAAAGGAAUAAAACGAGGCACGUGUGCCUUUUUGCAUGUACUUUAUGAAUAAGGAUCGGCUAACUCCGUGCCAGCAGCCGCGGUAAUACGGAGGAUCCGAGCGUUAUCCGGAUUUAUUGGGUUUAAAGGGAGAGUAGAUGGGUUGUUAAGUCAGUUGUGAAAGUUUGCGGCUCAACCGUAAAAUUGCACUUGAUACUGGUAGGCUUGAGUACAGUUGAGGUAAGCGGAAUUCGUGGUGUAGCGGUGAAAUGCUUAGAUAUCACGAAGAACACCGAUUGCGAAGGCAGCUUACUAAGCUGUGACUGACAUUGAGGCUCGAAAGUGUGGGUAUCAAACAGGAUUAGAUACCCUUGUAGUC